AAACAAAUGGAAACACAUCCCAUGCUCAUGGAUAGAUAAAAUCAAUGUUGUGAAAAUGACCAUAUUGCCAAAAGCAAUCUAUAAAUUCAAAGCAAUUCCUAUCAAAAUACCAUCAUCAUUAUUCACAGAACUAGAAAAAACAAUCCUGAAAUUCAUGUGGAACCAAAAAAGCCUGCGCAGCUAAAAAAUGACUAAGCAAAAAGAACAAAUCUGGAGGCAUCACAUUACCCAACCUCAAAUUUUACUACGAGGCUAUAGUUACCAAAACAGCACGGUACUGGUAUAAAAAUAGGCAUGUUUUUAGACUAAUGGAACAGAAUAGAGAAUCCAGAAAUCAAGUCAAAUACUUACAGCCAACUGGUAUUUGACAAAGCAAACAAAAACAUAAAGUGGGGAAAGGACACCCUAUUCAACAAACGGUGCUUGGAUAAUAGGCAAGCCACAGGUAGAAGAAUGAAGUUGGAUCUUCAUCUCUCACCUUACACAAAAAUCAACUCAAGAUAGAUGAAAGACAUAAAUCUAAGACCUGAAACCAUAAAAAUUCUAGAAGAUAACAUCAGAAAAACUCUUGUAGACAUUGGCUUAGGCAAAGAGUUCAUGACAAAGAACCAAAAAGCAAAUGCAACAAAAACAAAGAUAAACAGAUGGAACCUAAUUAAACUAAAAAGCUUCUGCACGGCAAAAGAAAUAAUCAGCAGAGUAAACAGACAACCCAUAGAGUGGUAGAAAAUCUUUGCAAACUAUGCAUUCGACAAAGAACUAAUAUCCAGAAUCUAUAAGAAACUCAAACAAAUCAGCAAGAAAAAAACAAAUAAUUUCAUCAAAAACUGGGCUAAGGACGUGAAUAGAAAAUUCUCAAAAGAAGAUAUGCAAAUGGCCAAUAAACAUAUGAAAAAAAUGUUCAACAUCACUAAUUAUCAGGGAAAUACAAAUCAAAACCCCAAUGUGAUAACAUUUUAUUCCUGCAAAAAUGGCCAUAUUAAAAAAUCAAAAAAUAAUAGAUGUUGGCGUGGAUAUGGUGAAAAGGAAACACUUAUACUGCUGGUGGGACUGUAAACUAGUACAACUACUAUGGACAAUAGUGUGGAGAUUCCCUAAAUAACUAAAAGUAGAUCCAUCAUUUGAUCUAGGAAUCCCACUACUGGCUAUCUACCCAGAGGAAAAGAAUUCACUAUAUGAAAAAGAUGCUUGCACAUGCAUGUUUAUAGCAACACAAUUCACAAUUGCAAAAAUAUGGAGCCAGCCCAAAUGCCCAUCAAUCAACAUAUGGAUAAAGAAAAUGUGUGGUAUAUACAUACCAUGGAAUACUACUCAGUCAUUAAAAGGAACAAAAUAAUGGCAUUCACAGCAACCUGGAUGGAGUUGGAGACCAUUAUUUUAAGUGAAGUAACUCAGGAAUGGAAAAUCAAAUAUCAUAUUUUCUCACUUAUAAGUGGGAUAUAAGCUAUGAGGAUGCAAAGGUGUAAGAAUCAUAUAAUGACCUCUGAAAUCUUGGGGGGAAGAUUGGGAGGGGAGGUGAAGAAUAAGAGACUACACAUUGGGUACAACGUACACUGCUCAGGUGACGGAUGCACCAAAAUCUCAGAAAUCGCCACUAAAGAACUUACCCGUGUAACCAAACACCCCCUGUUCUCCGAAAAUUAUUGAAAUAAUAAUAACAACAAAUAAAUUUAACGUAUGUUCUGGAAUAAUCAGUGCAUGCACAUUCAAAAGAUACCAAAGGUUAUACAAGGAGGGAAAAAAGCAAACAUUUUUUUCCUUCUCCUUUCUCCAGCCAUCCCAAUAGUCCCUGGAGGUAACUCUUGUCCCUACUUUCUCAAAUAGUCUUUCUUCAUGUGGGCUAUGUGAUUAAUAACAUACAUGUAUUCUUUUGUUUGAUUUUUCCCAUAAUUAAAUGGCAGCACACUCAAUAUGCUGUUCUAUAAGAUGCUUUUUUCACUUCACAAAACAUCUUAGAUGUUGUGUUGUAUCUCUAUCCAUCUAUCUAUUUAGAAAUUGCCUUACUCUUUUUAAUAGUUCCAGAGGGCUCUAUUGUAGGGAUACACUGUAUUCUCUAUUGAUGGACAUUUACAUUAUUUCCCCUUUUUUUUGCUAGUUCAGUGAUGCAGUGAAUAUCCUUGUACACAUAUGAGCUGCUUUGCAUAUGUGCUAACAUGUUUGUAGGAUAAAUUUCCUAGGAGCCAAACUGCCACAUCAAAGUCGAUGCACAUUUUAAAUGUUGAUAGCUAUUGCCCAAUUGCUCUUUACAGAGCCUGUCCCAGUUUACACUUCCACCAGCCUCACCUUAUUUAAAUCCUCUGCAGAGCAAUUACCACUUUCCAAUAUUGUCUGUUCAUUGCUUUUCUCCCCCAGGGUGGAAACCAUUUCAUUGCUGCUGGGCUCCUGGGGCCUAGAUCAUUGUCUGGUAAGCUCUCAAUAAAUAGGCUUGGAAUAAAUGAACAGACAAUUGAAAAUGGACACAGUAAAAAGAACAAGAAGCUUGGCAUUCAAAUGACAUCAGGUUCAAAUCCUGGGUCUGUCAUAACUCUUUGGCCUUGGGGCAAAUUAUUUAACCAUUCUGAGCCCCAUUUCCUCAUCUGGUAAACAGAGAUAAAAAUAACCGCUACUUUGAAGACUUACUCUCAGGACCAAAUAGGAUCAUAGCUGUGACAAGUGUUUUGUGACCACAGACAGCUCCAGCUCUGUGCCGUUACUAGGAUCCUGGGCUGAUGAGAAACCAUCUCCAGCUAAGAGAUUGUGAUUGACCACUGAGUAGCUGCCCAAGUUGAGACGCUCUGCUCAGCCCCCAGCCUGACAGGACAAUUGGCCCACACUGCCCCGGAGGCUGCUGGGCAGGAGCUGGUAAUUGACAGAGAACUCAUUAUCGAAGGACAGAGCCUCUGAGCAUGCUGGGAAUUGGAACUGACAGAGCCCAAGGGCCUGGGAAUCGGAUCACUGGGAAGAGACAGCCCAAGUGUUGUGUGUCCUGGACGUACAGAGGAAAAUAAAGUUUCAGAAAUUGCUCGGCACUAAAAGAGAGCUCUGGUAUUGAAAGCCAUCUCUGAUCCGCUCUCCAUGUGGCUUUGGGCAUGCAAUUGACCUCUGUGAGCUUCAGUUUUGUCACCUCCAAAAUAGAGAUGACAAUAAAUCUUUUUCGUGGAGUAAGAAAUAAGGAUGCUGUAACUAUGACAUUGAUGAUCAUCAUUAUAACAACUAGCAGCUAUUUCACAUCCUCCAGAUGCCAGAGACCAUUUGAAGAGUGCUAAAAAUGGGCCAGGCACAGAGGCUCACACCCGUAAUCCCAGCGUUUUGGGAGGCCCAGGCAGGAGGGUCGCUUGAGCCCAGGAGUUUGAGAAUAGCCUGGGCAACAUAGUGAUAACCCUCCAUCACUACAAAAAAUCAGAAGGGUGUGGUGGUGCACACCUGUAGUCCCAGCUACAAGGGAGGCUGAAGUGGGAAGAUCGCUUGAGCCCAGGAGUUCAAGGUUGCAUGAAGGAGUUCAAGGUUGCCAUGAUCACACCACUGCACUCCCGCCUGGGCUACAAAGCAAGAUCCUCUCUCAUAUAAAAUAAAAUAAAAAUAAUAUUAAAAUGCAUUAACUGUGUGAUCC
rnacentral:lncRNA from 10 species